rnacentral:rRNA from 1 species
CAGUAGCCGCGGUAAUACGUAGGUGGCAAGCGUUGUCCGGAAUUAUUGGGCGUAAAGGGCUCGCAGGCGGUUUCUUAAGUCUGAUGUGAAAGCCCCCGGCUCAACCGGGGAGGGUCAUUGGAAACUGGGAAACUUGAGUGCAGAAGGGGAGAGUGGAAUUCCACGUGUAGCGGUGAAAUACGUAGAGAUGUGGAGGAACACCAGUGGCGAAGGCGACUCUCUGGUCUGUAACUGACGCUGAGGAGCGAAAGCGUGGGGAGCGAACAGGAUUAGAUACCCGCGUAGUCCCUGUCUCUUAUAC